AGGACUAAGAUUUAUAGGAAGAUUUUUAAAAAGGAAGUUAGUACAUAGAAAAAAAAACCCUACUUCCUCCAAGUAUAGCUAUUAGUGUGGUACGAAAACCAAAAAGGGAAAGAAAUGAAAAAUAAUAACAAGAGCAUUACAUAUUUAUCCUCCCCACUUAUAUAUAGUAUUUAUUUUAAAGGACAAUUUAUAAAAUCCUAAGUGUUUAAGUGUAUGAAUCAUGAAUGAUGCCAAGUUCAGUAAGAGCUAAGGUAAAACACAGAAGACAAGGUUGCCUCCUUCUCCUUCGCAGGUGUAGAACCCAGGGCCAGCCUGCAGGAUGGAAGCAACAACACCAGAGUCCCUCCUCCCAGCAGAAUCCAUCGGAAGCUCCUUUGAUGACAAGCUCAUUGUAGUGGCCAGGUGGGAAUAGAACCAAAGUCAGGAGACGUUCACAAGAGAACCAAAUGACACACACAGGAGAGUCAGGCUUGGGAGGAUCCUGGAGGCGCUCUGAGAAGUCUACCUUGGACCUGGAGAAGUGACAAGUACAGGUGUCACAGGUGAGGGCGAAGGUCAAAGAUAGAUCUGGACGAUGUCUCUCCUCCUGUCUCGCGCUCACUGACUUCACACCCCUUCCCCCAUCAUCUCUUCCACAGUGACAGCGUCUCUCUGUCAGCUCUAAUAACACUGUACCUUCCAGGUCUUCAAUCAGACCUCGAACUUCGUUGACAUUUAACACAUUAAGCCAUUGUUCCAAAAUAAAACUUCUAAGGAA